CUACCCGCUGAACUUAAGCAUAUCAUAAGAUCUGAUCUCAAAUCAGUAGGACUACCC
rnacentral:rRNA from 1 species